rnacentral:rRNA from 1 species
UACGGGGGGGGCAAGCGUUGUUCGGAAUUACUGGGCGUAAAGGGUGCGUAGGCGGCUCUCUAAGUCGGAUGUGAAAACUCUGGGCUCAACCCAGAGCCUGCAUCUGAAACUGGAGGGCUAGGGUUCUGGAGGGGAAAGCGGAAUUCCUGGUGUAGCGGUGAAAUGCGUAGAUAUCAGGAGGAACACCGGUGGCGAAGGCGGCUUUCUGGACAGAUACCGACGCUGAGGCACGAAAGCUAGGGGAGCAAACAGG